CAAAUACUAUAUAUAAGUACACGCUGCCAGUACACGAUAUACCAUCUAACGACAGUCGUCUGCUAGGCGUACUUCGUGGUAUUGGUGGCAUUACUAGGUAGUAAUACCUAGUAUUACCUAGUUACCUAGUAAUACCUAGUUUUUUUUUCACUACUUUACCUAGUUCUACUUUACCUAGUUUCUCUCCGGGCUACUUUAGUAAUAGUAAAACCUAGUUUAAAAAAAAAAAUACCUAGUAAUAAGAAAAACAUUACCUAGAACCUGACGCCUGACUGAGUUAGUCUAUCAGUCUAUCUACUGUUUAUUGGAAGUUACAUGCAAUUCUGCACCUGAAUAACUCAAAGUUUAAUAUUGCAGGGACUUAUUUAGUUUGUCUAGCAUUUUUUCAUUGAAAUUGUCACAUCCUAAAGUGAGUCAACUUCAUUUCACUUGCAACUGUUGCAAGCUGCACCUGAAUAACUGGCGUCACAUCCUAAGUGAGUCAAGUAGUCAACUUCAUUUCACUCGCAAGCUGCACAUGAAUAACUUUGAGUGUGACUCUGACGGCCUGAUUAAGUCAGUCCAUCUACUUUUGAUUGACAAUUGUCACAUCAACUUCAUUUCACUCGCAAGCUGCACCUGAAUAACUCUGAGUCUGACUCUGAGACUGACGUAUGAAUUUGUUCAUAGUUUUAAUAGCAUUUCUUAUUUAUUAGAAAUACAGAAAGAAUAAUCAAAGAAUCAAA